GACGAACGCUGGCGGCGUGCUUAACACAUGCAAGUCGAACGGAAAGGCUCCAGCUUGCUGGAGUACUCGAGUGGCGAACGGGUGAGUAACACGUGGGUAAUCCGCCCUGCACUCUGGGAUAAGCCUGGGAAACUGGGUCUAAUACUGGAUAUGACCUUUCUCCUUAUGGGGUUUGGUGGAAAGUUUUUCGGUGUAGGAUGAGCCCGCGGCCUAUCAGCUUGUUGGUGGGGUGAUGGCCUACCAAGGCGACGACGGGUAGCCGGCCUGAGAGGGUGAUCGGCCACAUUGGGACUGAGAUACGGCCCAGACUCCUACGGGAGGCAGCAGUGGGGAAUAUUGCACAAUGGGCGGAAGCCUGAUGCAGCGACGCCGCGUGAGGGAUGACGGCCUUCGGGUUGUAAACCUCUUUCAGCAGGGACGAAGCGUAAGUGGCGGUACCUGCAGAAGAAGCACCGGCUAACUAUGUG
rnacentral:rRNA from 1 species